UCAGUAGGACCUAGAUUCUGCUCCGGCGC
rnacentral:piRNA from 1 species